rnacentral:rRNA from 1 species
GUCGAACGAGGUAUUUUGAUUGAAGUUUCGGAUGGAUUCAAGAUACCGAGUGGCGGACGGGUGAGUAACGCGUGGGUAACCUGCCUCAUACAGGGGGAUAACGGUUAGAAAUGACUGCUAAUACCGCAUAAGCGCACAGUACCGCAUGGUACGGUGUGAAAAACUCCGGUGGUAUGAGAUGGACCCGCGUCUGAUUAGCUAGUUGGUGGGGUAACGGCCCACCAAGGCGACGAUCAGUAGCCGACCUGAGAGGGUGACCGGCCACAUUGGGACUGAGACACGGCCCAGACUCCUACGGGAGGCAGCAGUGGGGGAUAUUGCACAAUGGAGGAAACUCUGAUGCAGCGACGCCGCGUGAGUGAAGAAGUAUUUCGGUAUGUAAAGCUCUAUCAGCAGGGAAGAAAAUGACGGUACCUGACUAAGAAGCCCCGGCUAACUACGUGCCAGCAGCCGCGGUAAUACGUAGGGGGCAAGCGUUAUCCGGAUUUACUGGGUGUAAAGGGAGCGUAGACGGCGACGCAAGUCUGAAGUGAAAUACCCGGGCUCAACCUGGGAACUGCUUUGGAAACUGUGUUGCUAGAGUGCUGGAGAGGUAAGCGGAAUUCCUAGUGUAGCGGUGAAAUGCGUAGAUAUUAGGAAGAACACCAGUGGCGAAGGCGGCUUACUGGACAGUAACUGACGUUGAGGCUCGAAA